rnacentral:misc_RNA from 1 species
UCAAACUUGGUCAUUUAGAGGAAGUAAAAGUCGUAACAAGGUUUCCGUAGGUGAACCUGCGGAAGGAUCAUUAUUGAAGGAGGAUGUGCUGGCCCCUUUAGGGGCAUGUGCACUCCAAAAGAGUCAAUAUCCCAACCCGUGCACCUUUCGGUAGGCAAAAGACUCCUUGCAAGUCUUUUGUCUAUGUUUUAUUACAAACACUUGACCUAUUUCAAUGCUUUUAUACAAUAUACAAUAAUAACAUUAUUGUAAUACAACUUUCAACAAUGGAUCUCUUGGUUCUCGCAUCGAUGAAGAACGCAGC